UACGGGGGGGGCAAGCGUUGUUCGGAAUUAUUGGGCGUAAAGGGCUCGUAGGUGGCCAACUAAGUCAGACGUGAAAUCCCUCGGCUUAACCGGGGAACUGCGUCUGAUACUGGAUGGCUUGAGUUCGGGAGAGGGAUGCGGAAUUCCUGGUGUAGCGGUGAAAUGCGUAGAUAUGCGGAGGAACACCGAUGGCGAAGGCAAUCCCCUGGGCCUGCACUGACGCUCAUGCACGAAAGCGUGGGGAGCAAACAGG
rnacentral:rRNA from 1 species